GUUGGAAAGGUAUCUUAUUCUGAAUACAUAGGGAUAAGAAGCGAACGCAGGGGAACUGAAACAUCUAAGUACCUGCAGGAAAGGACAUCACCGAGACUCCGCAAGUAUGGCGANCGAACGCGGACCANGCCANUGGGCCAUGAGGAAUGAAGUGGAACGAUUUUGGGAAAAGGGUCGCGCCGUAGAAGGGUGGAUUAGNCCCUUNUACGUAUAAACACUCUUUUGUGUGCUUGUAGUUAUGGGGGGGACACGCAGAAUCUCUGNUUUGACCUUGGGGAGACAUUC
rnacentral:rRNA from 1 species